UUGAAUCCACUCAUUUUUUCUAUUUCCACUAGCAACCCAACGUGUAUUCUCUCUCGGCGAUAAAAAAAUAAAAAAUCCACACAAAUAACUAGCCAUGUGAAAAAGAAUGAGAGAAAUAACUUUAUCCAAUAAGGAGCUUCCACGCGACACUGGUACACUCUUUUUUUCAUUUUUGAAAAAAAAAACUAAAAGAAAUAAUGAUAAAGGGAGAGAACGCAUUGAGGGGAGGGGAUUCAGUAGAAUGAGGACCUCUUUUUUUCUGCAUAUAACUACUCCUCCUAUUCACCAUCACCAUCCCUUUUUAAACCAUCAUUAAACCAAC
rnacentral:lncRNA from 1 species